rnacentral:rRNA from 1 species
UACGUAGGGGGCAAGCGUUGUCCGGAUUUAUUGGGCGUAAAGAGCGUGUAGGCGGCUAGAUAGGUCCGUUGUGAAAACUCGAGGCUCAACCUCGAGACGUCGAUGGAAACCAUCUGGCUAGAGUCCGGAAGAGGAGAGUGGAAUUCCUGGUGUAGCGGUGAAAUGCGCAGAUAUCAGGAAGAACACCCGUGACGAAGGCGGCUCUCUGGUACGUGACUGACGCUGAGACGCGAAAGCGUGGGGAGCAAACAGG